UCAACGUUUAUACAGGUACUCGUUUGUGAUGGCGAGUAAAUACCUCCAAAUAAUAGAUUUUGGGUUACGUUUUCCAACUGAACACCAUGGAAUCAAGCGAGAUGAUCUACUCGGUUAACUUGAUGGACUUACAGACUAACAACUUCUGCAACGGUACUCCUUUUACUCCUCGCUUUCCAUCUUAUAUGUAUUAUUUGAGAAGAAGAAAACUUAAGCGACCACGCCUCAAAGGCAACUGAGACAUCUCAACUCUUCCAAAGAAAACCGUUUGAAGAUCAUGUAGCGACUGAGAAGUUCAUAACAAGUUGCCCAAUGAAAACUGUAGCAGGUUGAGUACUUUUUCAUUACCCUCGUCUCUUUCCUGUACUUGGUUCCAUAGCAGCAGUUGUAUAAUGUCGUACACCAUUCUAAACAACUCGUGCAAGGCUCUCAGUAGGUUCAUCAGUGGUGCAAUAACAGCUUCGUUUGGAUCACUCAUCCUGUUCUGUGCAAUGUCGGGUUAUUCCAGUUGUGUGGUGACAGACAAAACUGGUAGAUUUUAUUCCACACUAUUACAUCUACACUA